rnacentral:misc_RNA from 1 species
AGAGGGUGAAGUUAGUCUCCACAAAAUGAAAUACUCAGUGUGUCUUCUGGUGGCUUUGGCUGGGGUGGCAUUGGCCUAUCCGACAAAGGAAAGGCGCCCCACUCCUGCAAAGAACGGCGAUGAUCUGAUUAAGAGACUAGAAGAAGUUCUAGAUGAUAUAGAAUUUGACAAAGAAUAUGACGGUUUCGAAAAACGCCCACCGCCCUCUGGUGAAGAAGAUGGCUCCAGAGAAGGAAGACGCAGACCUAGACCAGAAAAAGAUCAACAGGAGGCACCAGCUAAAAGGGAAGAUACCGAACAAGCUGGAAGACGCAGACCAAAAGGCCCACCUCCAUCUGACGGAGAAGAUGGCUCAGGAGAAAGAAGACGCCCACCUCCAUCUGAUGGAGAAGAUGGCUCUGGAGAAGGAAGACGCGGGCCUCGACCAGAAGGAGACCAACAGGAGGCACCAGCUAAAAGGGAAGAUACUGAACAAUCUGGAAGACGCAGACCAAAAGGCCCACCUCCAUCUGACGGAGAAGAUGGCUCAGGAGAAAGAAGACGCCCACCUCCAUCUGAUGGAGAAGAUGGCUCUGGAGAAGGAAGACGCGGGCCUCGACCAGAAGGAGACCAACAGGAGGCACCAGCUAAAAGGGAAGAUACUGAACAAGCUGGAAGACGCAGACCAAAAGGCCCACCUCCAUCUGACGGAGAAGAUGGCUCAGGAGAAAGAAGACGCCCACCUCCAUCUGAUGGAGAAGAUGGCUCUGGAGAAGGAAGACGCGGGCCUCGACCAGAAGGAGACCAACAGGAGGCACCAGCUAAAAGGGAAGAUACUGAACAAGCUGGAAGACGCAGACCAAAAGGCCCACCUCCAUCUGACGGAGAAGAUGGCUCAGGAGAAAGAAGACGCCCACCUCCAUCUGAUGGAGAAGAUGGCUCUGGAGAAGGAAGACGCGGGCCUCGACCAGAAGGAGACCAACAGGAGGCACCAGCUAAAAGGGAAGAUACCGAACAAGCUGGAAGACGCAGACCAAAAGGCCCACCUCCAUCUGACGGAGAAGAUGGCUCAGGAGAAAGAAGACGCCCACCUCCAUCUGAUGGAGAGGAUGGCUCUGGAGAAGGAAGACGCGGGCCUCGACCAGAAGGAGACCAACAGGAGGCACCAGCAAAAAGGGAAGAUACCGAACAAGCUGGCGGACAGAGACAGAAACCACCAAAGGAUUCAGGACGUCAGAAACUAGCAGGAGAUGGCGAUCGUCAAGGAAACCUGGAACGACUUGAGCGACUUCUGGAAAAUUUGUUUUAAAUGACGAUAUCUAUAUUCCAUGCAAUAUCUACAGACACUUUGUUAAAGCUUUUGGAAUUUCUGAAUUUCUUGUUUAUUGAAUAAAUUUUUUCUGCAAAGC